GAACCUAUGGGAAGCUUCACAGCUCUGUGGUAGAUCAUCUACCCGACAUGCAGAAGGUCCCAGGUUCAAUCCCUGGCCCCUUCA
rnacentral:tRNA from 1 species